rfam:Hordeum vulgare subsp. vulgare, WGS project CAJW01000000 data, contig: morex_contig_135315
AUUAUACUCCCUCUGUCCCAAAAUUCUUGUCUUGGAUUUGUCUAGAUAUGAAUGUAUCUNGUCACGUUUUAGUAUUUAGAUACAUCUAUUUCUAUACAAAUCUAAGACAAGAAUUUUGGGACGGAGGGAGUAUGUA